CUACGGGCGGCUCCAGUGGGGGAUAUUGCACAAUGGGGGAAACCCUGAUGCAGCAACGCCGCGUGAAGGAAGACGGAUUUCGGUCUGUAAACUUCUAUCAGCUGGGAAGAAAAUGACGGUACCAGACUAAGAAGCCCCGGCUAACUACGUGCCAGUCAGCCGCGGUAAUACGUAGGGGGCAAGCGUUAUCCGGAUUUACUGGGUGUAAAGGGUUCGUAGGCGGUCACUUAAGUCAGAUGUGAAAGCCCGAGGCUCAACCUCGGGACUGCAUUUGAAACUGGGUAACUAGAGUACAGGAGAGGAAAGCGGAAUUCCUAGUGUAGCGGUGAAAUGCGUAGAUAUUAGGAAGAACACCAGUGGCGAAGGCGGCUUUCUGGACUGUUACUGACGCUCAUGAACGAAAGCGUGGGGAGCGAACAGGAUUAGAUACCCGCGUAGUC
rnacentral:rRNA from 1 species